GUGGGAAAGCGGCGCAGGCGCGCGGCGUCGCGUGCUGCUCCCGCGCGCCUCCCCCUGCCCCGCGGAAGUACGCUCGUGCACAGAACUCUUCCAAACAAAGUCGCGUUGCUCUGCCGGUGGCGCGGAGGAGGGGGGAAGUGCGGAGCUAGGCCACGUGACACUUCGGAGGUGGGGAGAGCCCCACGGAGGCGCGCGUGCGCCUGCUGUUUACAGUGUUGUCGCGUCGCGCGGCCACGACCUCGCGCGGUACAGGGCAGCGUUGUGUUUUGACAUCAGCCAUGGCUUGCUUCACGCGUUUGGAUGGGACACGGGAUGAAAGAACCAGUAUCCAGCAGCCACAACCAGAAUUGACGUGUUCAAUUCGCUGUCGCCGCAGAGGCAAAGCAGGGCGACGCGAUUGCUUCUCAGAAAAGUACUGCAGGGACGUAAGAGAAGCAGGAAGUGAGACCAUGAAGAAAAUAAUGGGACUAAUGCUUGAGAUAGAGAUGGCGAGAUACCAGGAUAUCAUUCCUUGCUUCUGGGGCUGGCAUUAGGAAAGAGAAGAAAGUAAAAGGAAAAAAAAUCCUCAGGGUGAAGAUUCUACAAAGCAGAAAAAGGCAAGUCUAAUGUCAGUCUAAUGACAGAUCCGGCUCAAAGUUACAGCAGGUGGGAGGGUACUCCCCAAUUUGCAGUACAUACCCAAGAGAACAGGGCAGCACAGGGCAUGUGUCUCUUGCACAGGCAAGCCUUAUAGGGUGUGAAAAUGGAUGUGGAUAAGCACUUGGAAAAAGUCUCAUGCAUCUAACACCCAAAAGUUCAUUUGGAACUUUAAUGCUUGAAGACAAACACUUGAAGUGCAACUUGCAUAUAUUUUAAGAGCUUCUAGAAGCAAGAAUAAAAGUGAGAUGAGACCAAAAUCUGUACUUUAAAAACUCCCAUGCUUUUUAGAGAAAGCCUGAUUUGGUUUGAGCUGACUCAAUGUUUUUAAAUGGUUGUCCUGCAUAAUGGUAAAACUUCCUUUAGUUUGUGUAUGUUUAUUCCACAGAAAUACUGAAAAAACAAUAAAGCCAAUCUCAACAGCUGUCUUAAAUCCACGAUUGUUGCAGUUCUGUGUUGUGACUCUGCAGAGAGAAACUAAUGGAGUAGGAAAUAGUAAGGGAUUCCUGUAGCAAUUGUUACACUGUUUGUACAC